rnacentral:rRNA from 1 species
AUUGAACGCUGGCGGCAGGCCUAACACAUGCAAGUCGAGCGAGCGGCGGACGGGUGAGUAAUGUAUGGGGACUGCCCGAUAGAGGGGGAUAACUACUGGAAACGGUAGCUAAUACCGCAUACUAUCGGAUAACCCAUAUGGGAUUAGCUAGUAGGUGAGGUAAUGGCUCACCUAGGCGACGAUCCCUAGCUGGUCUGAGAGGAUGAUCAGCCACACUGGGACUGAGACACGGCCCAGACUCCUACGGAGGCAGCAGUGGGGAAUUUUGGACAAUGGGGGAAACCCUGAUGCAGCCAUCCCGCGUGUAUGAUGAAGGCCGUAGGGUUGUAAAGUACUUUCAGUCGGGAGGCGGUACCGGCAGAAGAAGCACCGGCUAACUCCGUGCCAGCAGCCGCGGUAAUUC